UGCUUAUUAAGAAAGACGGAGGGAUUAGACCCAACGAAGUCUUAGCAACCUGUGCCACACAAGGUGCUAAAUUCUAUCUCGAUUUUAUUCGGGGAAAGAUAAGUU
rnacentral:ncRNA from 2 species